rnacentral:rRNA from 1 species
UACGAAGGGGGCUAGCGUUGCUCGGAAUCACUGGGCGUAAAGCGCACGUAGGCGGCUUGUUAAGUCAGGGGUGAAAUCCUGGAGCUCAACUCCAGAACUGCCUUUGAUACUGGCGAGCUUGAGUUCGGGAGAGGUGAGUGGAACUGCGAGUGUAGAGGUGAAAUUCGUAGAUAUUCGCAAGAACACCGGUGGCGAAGGCGGAUCUCUGGGCCUUACCUGACGCUCAGGCGCGAAAGCUAGGGGAGCGAACUGG